AGAUGAAGCGGUGGCGGUCAUCAGACCGGUUCUGGUACGAGAACUCGGUGCACCCCGGAUCGUUCACAAAAGAGCAACUGUUCGAAAUCCGCAAGUCCCGGAUGUCGCGGUUGGUAUGCGACCACGGAGAGGGUGUGGACAGCAUACAGCCGUACUCCUUCCUGAUGCCGGGCCCAGGAAAUGAAAUAGUGAAGUGCCCCGAGAUACCAGCGAUGGGCACGUACCCGUGGAAGGACGAAUCCUGCUCUAAGGAAAAACACCUGUACGAAGAGAAGAUGGAUAACGGGUACUAUAGCCAGUUCAGUGAUUAUUUACAAAAGCUGU